rnacentral:rRNA from 1 species
AUUGAACGCUGGCGGCAGGCUUAACACAUGCAAGUCGAACGGUAACAGAGAAUAGCUUGCUAUUUUGCUGACGAGUGGCGGACGGGUGAGUAAUGCUUGGGAACUUGCCCUAACGUGGGGGACAACAGUUGGAAACGACUGCUAAUACCGCAUAAUGUCUUCGGACCAAAGGUGGCCUCUAUUUAUAAGCUAUCGCGUUAGGAUGGGCCCAAGUGGGAUUAGCUAGUUGGUGAGGUAAUGGCUCACCAAGGCGACGAUCCCUAGCUGGUCUUAGAGGAUGACCAGCCACACUGGAACUGAGACACGGUCCAGACUCCUACGGGAGGCAG